CUCUCGGGUUACCGAAUUCAGACAAACUCCGAAUGCCAAUUAAUUUAACUUGGGAGUCAGAACAUGGGUGAUAAGGUCCGUGUUCGAAAGGGAAACAGCCCAGACCACCAGCUCAGGUCCCAAAAUAUAUGUUAAGUGGAAAAGGAUGUGGCGUUGCCCAGACAACUAGGAUGUUGGCUUAGAAGCAGCCAUCAUUUAAAGAGUGCGUAAUAG
rnacentral:rRNA from 1 species